UCAGGGGCAGCAACCUAACAACGGGUUGUCUGAUUCAUCUGAAAAUUUCAGGGCAGAUAGAUCUAGACCUGAUAAACAAUUUUACUCCGUCAGAUUUGCUCUAAAUGCUUUGGUUUUUGAGUUAUAAGCCAAAAACUGCAUUUUACCCCUAUGUUCUAAUUUUAGCCAUGGCGGCCAUCUUGGUUGGUUGGCUGGGUCACGCCACACAUUUUUUGAACUAGAUACCCCAAUAAUGAUUGUGGCCAAGUUUGGUUAAAUUUGGCCCAGCAGUUUCAGAGGAGAAGAUUUUUGUAAAAGUUAACGACGACGGACGACGACGACGACGACGGACGACGGACGCCAAGUGAUGAGAAAAGCUCACUUGGCCCUUCGGGCCAGGUGAGCUAAAAAGGGAGAUAUGAUAUAUUUUCUCGUGAGACAAUUCUCCAGCAGAGUUCAUAUUUUAAAUGCAUGUUAACAAAAGAACAACCCAAAUUUAUGACGAACAAAAACCAACGACUUUUGCGCGUGUCACAUUUAGAAAUUAUUGAUUAUACAAACAUAAUAUGUUUUAUAUAUACGC
rnacentral:lncRNA from 1 species